AUCUAGUUUGUAUCUCUAUUAAGUUAAUCUUUGGUGUGUGUCUAUUUGGUGUGUUCAUCUUUAUGGUGUGUAUCUAUAUGGUGUGUAUCUAUGGUGUGUGUGUAUUGUGGCGUCCCGCCCCCUAAACCUCGGUCCGGACGGACCCGAGGUUUCAUCCAGGACGGAAUAUACUACCGUCAUCCACCAGCCGGCGACGGAGAGCGCCCGUUGAACCCCAAUCAGCGAGAUGGGAGACACCUGGCUGGACAGCCAGGAAGACAUUUUAAAAGGAGCACGAGGACUGACAUUUGGGAGGAACGGGAGCGAGGAAGAAGGAAGUGCUCGGGUCUGUGAGCGACUAGAGGCCCACGGAGGCCCUAGAGACCCUGAAAGGCGAGGCUGAGAGGCUGGGGUCCGGAGGCUUGUGGUGCCAGGGUGGACCGGAGACUGAGGCUGGAGACCAGGGGCCUGCAGCACCGGACCAGAGGACCAGGAAUCCAUGGCUGAAGGAGCUGAUGGAGGAGCCGUGCUGAAGGAGCUGAUGGAGGAGCUGAUGGAGGAGCCGUGCGGAAGGAGCUGAUGGAGGAGCCGUGCGGAAGGCCCUGCCUGGUGGAGGACGUCUGUCGUGGGGUAGAUGGAGCUUGACUCUGAAGUGAUCAUCACACUCACGGCCACUUCUCGUAGAAUACUGCUACCACAAACUACCGGCGGUUGUACCAUAUAUACCAGAGGACUACAUCUGUUUUACCACAUGUUGAAGCAAGACUUCCGCUGUU